GUCGAUAUGUCUGAGUCGAUAAGGAGACUGACUCAAAAUCUGUUGGGCUGCGCAGGUUCGAAUCCUGCUUUCGACG